rnacentral:sRNA from 1 species
UGGCUGUUGGUGGUCGAUCUACCUAGUAAUAAUACUGACGAUAGGUCGUUAAGUAGUGUAGUGGUAUAAUUGAACUCGGGUCUCAUAUCGAGUUGUUGUUGUGUUGUGCGUGUAUCAUUAUAGGCCCCAUGAGCAUAACUAACAGUUAUGUACCUAUGUACUUGGAAUCGCCCGUAAGCUGUUUGGUAGCUACCCAGAAACAAGCUCUUGGAUUAUUCUUCUCUGCCCUUCGUGUAUUGGGUUGUCUUUCUAUCUCAUCCUAUUCCAUAUACUUCUCCCUCUCCAUCUCUCUCACUGUUACCGGCUACAGCGUGUCAUUCCGCAACGUGACAUAGGCUUCAAAGUUAUGUACUUAUUAUCAACUAUUGUUUUCGGUUGUCGAUCAGGUUUUCCACUGUGUCUUGACGCUGGUCGCUAUCCACCAGGCCAAGUGUCUGCCAGUCAUGUUGUUUUUCUUUAUAUAUUUUUCCUAUCUAUUCCCAUGAUGUUCUGUUUAGGAUUCCUUCUUAGUCGCUAGCGUGGAUAUCUCGACGUCCUUGUGGAGCGGUUGUCAUAGUUAUCUUCCUGGUGCAAAACUACCAUCAUGAAAGUGACAUGGAGCGAAUGCAGUAAUUUGAGCGUAAUGCAUCAUUG